rnacentral:rRNA from 1 species
UUCGGUCUCUUAAGCAGUAUGGCACCACCCUUUCCCAUUCCGAACAGGGAAGUGAAACAUACUAGCGCUGACAAUACCUGUUUCUAAAGGAACCGGGAAGAUAGGUCGAGGCCGGGG